rnacentral:rRNA from 1 species
GACGAACGUUGGCGGCGUGCUUAAUACAUGCAAGUCAACUGAAGCAGUGGUAGCAAUAUCGCUGUGGAGGUGGCGCACGGGUGAGUAACACGUAGGUAAUCUGCCUUCAGGUCUGGCAUAACUCCGGGAAACCGGGGCUAAUAGCAGAUGAUGCAGCGGCUCGACAUCGAGACAGUUGUUAAAGCUAUGGCGCCUGAAGAUGAGCCUGCGUCUGAUUAGCUAGUUGGCGGGGUAACGGCCCACCAAGGCAACGAUCAGUAGCUGGUCUGAGAGGAUGAUCAGCCACACUGGAACUGAGACAAGGUCCAGCCUCCUACGGGAGGCAGCAGUAAGGAAUAUUGCUCAAUGGGAGAAAUCCUGAAGCAGCAACGCCGCGUGAGGGACGAAGGGCUUUUGAUUGUAAACCUCUGUAGUGAGAGAAAAAAAUCCCAAUCUUUGGGACAUGAUGGUAUCUCAAAAGUAAGCCCCGGCUAACUACGUG